GAUCCGUGUCCUGAACUUCGAUGUUGGUGAUGAUUAUGUUGAACUUGAUGGUAUCUCUUUGCUUCUGUUACAAAGUGAAUGUUUCCUCUUUAAGCUAGCCAACGUUGAUGAUGAAUUACAUAGCUAGCGGUAAUGACUAUGAUGAUUAAAUAGUGGUAAUUAGACGACCACGAUGAUUUUUAGCUAGCUAGAGUUUAUUUAUUUAUUAAUAUGCGAUGAUGAUGAUGAUGAUGACGACUACAACUCAUUAUAACGUAAAACAAUCCUAAAUUAAAUUGAUAACACAAAUUUAAUUGAAAAAUACAAAAUAAAACAAAAACCCACAACCAUUUAGUACCGGUUGGUUUUACCAACCGGUACUAAAGGGCUCCCGGCCCCCGGAGCUGGCUCGUGCCACGUGGUACCCCUUUAGCACCGGUUCGUGCUGAACCGGUACUAAAGGGGGGGGGGCCUUUAGUGCCGAAAUAAUAGUGCCGGUUCCUAAACCGGCACUAAAGGGCCUUACGAACCGGUGCUAUUGCCCGGUUUUCUACUAGUGUAUACAUACCAAAUCCGAAUCAUAGACAGGACGAGGGCCGACGGGGGCGGAUACCAAAACCAUCUCACUAUAUAAGAUGCAAUAAUAAAUGUAAGAAAAUAAUACAAGUAUCUAUCUAAACAUACAAGUAAGAAUAUUUUUCCUUUCAGAAAGAAGAUAAGAACAAGAGGCUCACCACGGUGGUGUCGGUGAUGAGAUCGGCGCGGGUGAUCGACGGCGGUGAAGAUGGGGACGGGGCGUGACGGACCGCUAAAUCUAGACAAAUCUCGAGGAAAAUGGAGCUUGGAGGUCGAGCUUCGAGAGGAGAAAGCUUAAGUAGUGACGGGUCACAGUGGAGAAAAAUCAAGAGAAAGUACUGGGAUGAGUUUGCAAAGGACCCAAGGAAUGUAUGGUUUUCUUUAAGCACGGAUGGCAUUAAUCCUUUCAGGGAGCAGAGCAGCAAUCACAACACCUGGCCCGUGACUCUAUGUAUGUAUAACCUUCCUCCUUGGAUGUGCAUGAAGCGGAAGUUCAUUAUGAUGCCAGUUCUCAUCCAAGGCCCUAAGCAACCCGGCAACGAAAUUGAUGUGUACCUAAGGCCAUUAGUUGAAGAACUUUUACAGCUGUGGAAUGGAAACGGUGUACGUACGUGGGAUGAGCACAGACAGGAGGAAUUUAACCUUAAGGCGUUGCUGUUCGUGACCAUCAACAAUUGGCCCGCUCUCAGUAACCUUUCAGGACAGACAAACAAAGGAUACCACGCAUGCACGCACUGUUUAGAUGACACUGAAAGUAUAUACCUGGACAAAUGCAGGAAGAAUGUGUACCUGGGCCAUCGUCGAUUUCUUCCGACCAACCAUCAAUGUCGAAAGAAAGGCAAGCAUUUCAAAGGCGAGGCAGAUCACCGGAAGAAGCCCGCCAUGUGCACCGGUGAUCACGUGCUUGCUAUGGUCAAUGAUUUACACUACGUAAUCUUUGGAAAGGGUCCCAGUGGACUAGUUGUUCCGAAUGACGCUGAGGGACACGCGCCCAUGUGGAAGAAGAAAUCUAUAUUUUGGGACCUACCCUACUGGAAAGACCUAGAGGUCUGCUCCUCAAUCGACGUGAUGCACGUGAUGAAGAACCUUUGCGUGAACCUACUAGGCUUCUUGGGCGUGUAUGGGAAGACAAAAGAUACACCUGAGGCACAGGAGGACCUGCAACGUUUGCACGAAAAAGACGGCAUGCCUCCGAAGCAGUAUAAAGGUCCUGCCAGCUACGCUCUUAUGAAAGAAGAGAAAGAAAUCUUCUUUGAAUGUCUGCUUAGUAUGAAGGUCACGACUGGCUUCUCGUCGAAUAUAAAGGGAAUAAUAAAUAUGCCAGAGAAAAAUUUUCAGAACCUAAAGUCUCAUGACUGCCGCAUGAUUAUGACGCAACUGCUUCCGGUUGCAUUGAGGGGGCUUCUACCGGAAAACGUCCGAUUAGCCAUUGUGAAGCUAUGUGCAUUCCUCAAUGCAAUCUCUCAGAAGGUGAUUGAUCCAGAAAUCGUACCAAGGCUAAGGAGCGAUGUGGCGCAAUUUCUUGUCAGUUUCGAGCUGGUGUUCCCACCAUCCUUCUUCAAUAUCAUGACGCACGUCCUAGUUCAUCUAGUCGACGAGAUUGUCAUCCUGGGCCCUGUAUUUCUACACAAUAUGUUCCCCUUUGAGAGGUUCAUGGGAGUCCUAAAGAAAUAUGUCCGUAACCGCGCUAGGACAGAAGGAAGCAUCUCCAUGGGCCAUCAAAUAGAGGAUGUUAUCGGGUUUUGUGUUGACUUCAUUCCUGGCCUUAACAAGAUAGGUCUCCCUAAAUCACGGUAUGAGGGGAGACUGACUGGAAAAAGGCACUCUUGGAAGAGACUCAAUAAUAUGCAGGGACGGAUAUUCUUGGUCUCAAGCACACUUCACAGUUCUACAGAACUCUACCUUGGUGACCCCGUAUGUCGAUGAACACAAGAACAGUCUGCGCUCCAAACACCUGGAGCAAUGCGACGACUGGAUUACAUGUGAACACAUCAGGACUUUCAGCAGUUGGUUGGAAACACGUCUCAGAGGUGACAACACUGUUUGUGAUGAGUUGUACUUGUUGUCCAGGGGACCAUCUUUGACUGUAUUGACUUACAAAGGAUACGAGAUAAAUGGGAAUACAUUUUACACGAUCGCCCAAGACCAAAAGAGCACCAACCGAAACAGCGGUGUCCGCUUUGAUGUAGCAACCGAGAGCGGAAAGGACACAUAUUAUGGUUAUAUAGUGGACAUAUGGGAACUUGACUACGGACCUGAUUUUAAGGUCCCUUUGUUUAAGUGCAAAUGGGUCAAUCUGUUAGGCGGCGAGGUACAGGUAGACCCACAGUACGGAAUGACAACAGUGGAUCUUAAAAAUCUUGGGUACACUGACGAACCUUCGUCCUAGCCAAUGAUGUGGCACAGGUUAUCUAUGUGAAGGACAUGUCUACCAAACCGAGAAAAAGAAAAAAUAAGGAAGCAAAUACAUCAUACGAUGAGCCAAAGCGCCACAUAGUUCUUUUAGUAAAAAGGGACAUCCUGGGAGUGGACGGCAAGACAGACAUGUCUGAAGAUUAUGAAAAGUUUCAUGAAAUUCCUCCCUUCAAUGUCAAGGCUGACCCAAGCAUCCUGAUAAACAAUGAAGAUUAUCCAUGGUUACGGCGCAAUAAGCAAAUGGCACAAGCGAAGAAAAAGUGAAGACUUUCUCCCGCAACUAUUAUGAUGAUACCAUGCCAAAUUUGUAACAGACGAACAUGCUACCAUUGUCCGUUUUGUACAUGCACAUGCUAUGUGGGUGAAAUUAUGAUACCAUCCCAACUUUCAACUUUUUCAGAGUUCAUUUGAAAUGCUUUCAUGUCUUAUGGUUCGAAACUUUGAUACUUCGAAAGUGAUUGUUAUGAAGUGCAUCAAGUUUUUGAAGUAACCCUCUCUACUUUUUGGAACAUGCUAUGUGGGUGAAAUGAUGAUACCAUGCCAACUUUCAACCUUUUCAGAGUUCAUUUUGAAAUGCUUUCCAAUUUCAGAGUCAUUUAGCUCAAAGAAUGAAUUAAUAGCAAACAGAAUAAACUACAAAACUUUUAUGAAAAUAAAAACAAUCAAUUAAAAUAUUAUGUUAUGAUCAACUAAAAUAAAACUAUAAUAUUCUUCAAUAGCAAAAAGAAUAUAAUUUUUGUGACCUAAAAUCAAACUAUAAGUAUUUAAUUGUAAGUAUAAAUAAAAAAUAAAUAGCAAAGAAGAAAAAAANNNNNNNNNNUGUUAGAUUAAUGUCGAAUGUUAGAUGAAUUAGAUAGAAAAGUUAAAUAUAUAGUAAUGUCAAUUGAAUAUAUAGUUAGAUAUAUUAAUGUCAAAUGUUAGAUGAAUAUAUAUUUGGCUAGAUAUAGGUGUUUAAUGUUUCACCUAUAUGAACAUAGGAAAUGUCAUCUGACAACGAAAAAGAUUUUAUUAUGUGCGAACACUGUGAAGACCAGCGCGGCCUGUGCGACCAAAAUUUCCUUGUUGAUGGUAGGCGCUUCAGCAUCAAGCUGGAUGAGACAUUCGAAGUUGAUACAGUAAGUCACUUUGUCAAUUAUUAUUUGAAUGCAAAACUUAUGCUUCAUUUGCUUCAACUUAUAAUUUUAAAUUUUCACUAUUCUACUAGCACAUCCCCUGCCAUGCAAGAAUUUUUGUCUUGGAUAAGAUAGGUUUCAGUGCUAUAGAUGAUAUGGAGGUAAAGAGAGUUUACUUGAAGACGCAACAUGGGUAUACUUUCAACAUCAAAUUAUAUAAUGGAGACACAUACACCCAUUUUGAAUGCAAAACUUGGCAAGCACUAUGCAAGGCUUAUGCAUUUGAGCCUGAUAUGGUUAUCACCUUUGAUAUUCGUCCGGAAAAUGAUAUUGAAGGUAAUAUAGACAUCUGGGUCGAUGUGCAAACGCCUCCAGUUCUACCAUUUGGUGAGUUUUUUUCAACCAUGCAUGCAUAUGUUUAUGUAUUUCAUACAGUUUAUUCAAAAAUAGUUGACAACUAUUUUGUAUUGUCAGCUUAUUUCGGUUCAAGCAAACAUGUCCGGCGCUUGGUAGACAGGACCUACUACUGCCCCGGGGCUCAACUAAACUGCGAGGAGAUAAGUCAUUAUGUUUCAUGGCUUGAGGAUCUUAAUACUGUCAAGACAAUAUUUUUCCUAAACUUAGAAAUGUUAGUACUCAAAACAUGCGACCAAUGGUGAUCGUAUUAAACUACGGUCACAUCUAUAAUCAAAAGAUGGUAAGAUUUUAAAUAUUUGUCCUUAAUUAGUGCAUCUUUUGCAUACAUUAUUUUGAAGCUAAACUUUCAUUGCUUAGUAUAUUAAUUACUAUACGAUGUUGUUCAACAGGGACUUCCGAUGACAGUUGUGCCUCAGUGGACCGAGACAUAAGGUCGCAUGUCAAUGGUUAGCUUACGACCAAGAUUUCCUAUAUUGCAUAUGAGUGCAUUCAGGAUUUCUAAAAGCGAAGAAUGCUUAAUAGUGAAAGAUUGGAGCAAAAUUGUUAACGAUCGCAGAGAAGUACUAGGGGGCAGUAAGGAGAAGCACAACCCAAGAUUAGGAGCCAGAUUCAUCUGCAUGCUCCAGUAUGAUGAAUCAGGAGAGCUAUACAUGUUCUAUGCUAUUCUACCUGAGAGGGAGCAGCAGGAUCAGUAGCUACUACUUCAUGCUCUUAAUUAGUACUUGUCUCAUGGAUCCGUGUCCUGAACUUCGAUGUUGGUGAUGAUUAUGUUGAACUUGAUGAUAUCUCUUUGCUUCUGUUACAAAGUGAAUGUUUCCUCUUUAAGCUAGCCAACGUUGAUGAUGAUUACAUAGCUAGCGGUAAUGACUAUGAUGAUUAAAUAGUGGUAAUUAGACGACCACGAUGAUUUUAGCUAGCUAGAGUUUAUUUAUUUAUUAAUAUGCGAUGAUGAUGAUGAUGAUGACAACUACAACUCAUUAUAACGUAAAACAAUCCUAAAUUAAAUUGAUAACACAAAUUUAAUUGAAA
rnacentral:lncRNA from 1 species